rnacentral:lncRNA from 1 species
UUGACUAGGAUUUUAUUAGGAUUUGAUUAAGAUUUGGUAAGGAUUUUAUUAGAAUUUUAUUAAGAUUUAGUCUAAGAUUAGAAUUUAGGAUUUUAUUAAGAUCUAUUAGGAUUUAAUUAGAAUUUAGUUAAGAUUUUAUUAAGACUUAGUUAUGAUUUAUUUAGAAUUUAUUAAGGGUUCUAUUAAGUUUGGUUAGGAUUCAAUUAGA